GUGGGGAAUAUUGGACAAUGGGCGCAAGCCUGAUCCAGCCAUGCCGCGUGAGUGAUGAAGGCCCUAGGGUUGUAAAGCUCUUUCACCGGUGAAGAUAAUGACGGUAACCGGAGAAGAAGCCCCGGCUAACUUCGUGCCAGCAGCCGCGGUAAUACGAAGGGGGCUAGCGUUGUUCGGAAUUACUGUGCGUAAAGCGCACGUAGGCGGACAUUUAAGUCAGGGGUGAAAUCCCAGAGCUCAACUCUGGAACUGCCUUUGAUACUGGGUGUCUUGAGUAUGGAAGAGGUAAGUGGAAUUCCGAGUGUAGAGGUGAAAUUCGUAGAUAUUCGGAGGAACACCAGUGGCGAAGGCGGCUUACUGGUCCAUUACUGACGCUGAGGUGCGAAAGCGUGGGGAGCAAACAGGAUUAGAUACCCGAGUAGUCC
rnacentral:rRNA from 1 species